CAAAUAGUAUGCGGCUCAGUUAAUACUAAAAAAAAUUGAUUUUACUAAUUAGUGGACUAUGAGUGUGUGUUUGGCCAUCCAGAUUUCAUAACUACAACUGAUGUUCAAUUACAAGGGAUAUUAAUCAGUCUCCGUGGACUAUACACUGUGCCUAGUUUCAUCCUCAGAGACUGAUGUGUAAGCUUAAAGUAAAGACAUCAAAUCAAAGUAUCAGCCAUCAAGAGGAAAAACAUUCAAAAUCAUAUUGUGAUACACAAGUCAAGCAAGUCUGACCAGCAUUUUGAUACAGGCCAAGAAAAAGCUGGAUACUUGAUUGGAAGGGUCGCACAAAAAACAUGGGUUAUCACUAGGGAAACAAGCUCGCAAUACAGUUCACUGUUAGGACAGCAAGCCAAAUACUUCUAAACUUAUUUGAAUCAUUUUUGCUGUUUAUUAUAAUUCAUCCAAUUGUCUUAUUAAAUAUAUAAAUUUAUAUAUAUACACAAUUCCUAAUAUAGAAUUUCUAAAAAUGUUUUAUUAUAAUAUUUAAAAAUGAAACAAACAUGUUCCCAGAACACAGCCACAUAAU